GACCCGAACCUGGGUGAUCUAUCCAUGACCAGGAUGAAGCUUGGAUGAAACUAAGCAGAGGUCCGAACCGACUGAUGUUGAAGAAUCAGCGGAUGAGUUGUGGUUAGGGGUGAAAUGCCACUCGAACCCAGAGCUGG
rnacentral:rRNA from 9 species